rnacentral:tRNA from 1 species
CAGAACAUAGCUUAUCAAAAGCAUUUUGCUUACACCAAAAAAAUAUCCCAUAGAUUGUUCUGA